GCUGAGUUCCUUGAAUUAUGCUCUGUAGGUGUGAUAGUAUCUGUUUUGCUCUCUUUACCAGAUUUUUGAAGUUUAUUUUCAACUAUUGUAAUCUCUUCAUCAAAUUUUUUAGAUCCAUUUUCAACGAUUGUGCUGUCUUCAAUAGAUAUUUGAGGUCCAUUUGCAGUCGUAUUAUCCCCAGCUGUAGUGUUGAUGUUGUCCACUAGCCUUGAUGUCAGUGGACCAGGAUUCAUGAAAGAGAUUGUUCGAAUUUCAUGGCGUAUAGCUUCUAG
rnacentral:misc_RNA from 1 species